rnacentral:rRNA from 1 species
UACGGAGGGUGCGAGCGUUAAUCGGAAUUACUGGGCGUAAAGCGCGCGUAGGUGGUUAAUUAAGUCAGAUGUGAAAUCCCAGGGCUCAACCUUGGAACUGCAUUUGAAACUGGUUAACUAGAGUUUUGUAGAGGGUGGUAGAAUUUCAGGUGUAGCGGUGAAAUGCGUAGAGAUCUGAAGGAAUACCAGUGGCGAAGGCGGCCACCUGGACAAAGACUGACACUGAGGCGCGAAGGCGUGGGGAGCAAACGGG